GGUUUUAUAGUCAAUAGAUGAUAUUAGAUUGCAAUUCUAAAGUAGUAUUUUUACUAAAGCUU
rnacentral:tRNA from 1 species